rnacentral:misc_RNA from 1 species
GAAAUGCGAUAAGUAAUGUGAAUUGCAGAAUUCAGUGAAUCAUCGAAUCUUUGAACGCACCUUGCGCUCAUUGGUAUUCCUUGGAGCAUGCCUGUUUGAGUAUCAUGAAAUCUUCAAAGUAAAUCUUUUGUUAACUCAAUUGGUUUCUACUUUGGUAUUGGAGGUCUUUGCAGCUUCACACCUGCUCCUCUUUGUUCAUUAGCUGGAUCUCAGUGUUAUGCUUGGUUCCACUCGGCGUGAUAAGUUAUCUAUCGCUGAGGACACUGUAAAAGGUGGCCAAGGUAAAUGCAGAUGAACCGCUUCUAAUAGUCCAUUGACUUGGACAAUACUUUUAUGAUUUGAUCUCAAAUCAGGUAGGACUACCCGCUGAACUUAAGC